UUCAGUAAUGCCUGACAGGUAUUCGUGACAAUUUAUGCAUGCUUUUCCAAAAAAAAUUUUUUUUAAAUGCUAUGGUAUUGUUCAUGGAACUUUUCCAAAGUUUAAAGAAUAGUAUUCAUGAUGCAGUGAUUAAAUAUUUAUCACCACCUGUUUUGACGCAUUGCAAAACUAUUAGAACCCCGCCGCCCCCCAUAAACUAGUCCCACAAUAAUAAAGUCUUAAAUUCAAUCUAAAAUAAUUUUUUCCUCUAAUCACAAAAUGGUGUAAUAGUCCUUCCUUAAUGAUUAAAUAUAUAACAGCUCUGCGCUCAACACUGCAGACAGUUUGACUGUAAAACUUUAUAUGUCCCAAAGAGCAGCUGGGAUUCCUCCUGCAUGAUUCUGUCAUACAGCUAUGGCGGAGAGAUUGAUAUCCUAUUGUUUUAUGCAUUCAGCUCAUAAGAGCUCUACUCAGUCGUCUUAUGUAACAAUAAAGCUAUGCUCAGCUAUUGUGUACAAAAGGGCAGUAAUAGUAGAGUUUCAUGGAAAAAUCGAUACAUCCCUCAUUUAUGAUAGCAGCAAAACUGUGACUUGAAAAGAAACUUUAAAAGAAACAGAUCUAAAUCCAUUUGGCACACUGGAGUGAAGUUAAAUUCAUAUUUGAAAACCCUAAUAACCUUCUAGAAUUGUUUACAAACAUCAGUCAGUCAAUCAGUUGAUUUUCCUUAUUUCAACUUCCAAUUUAUAGCAUAUGGCAUUGAUUUCACAGUAACCCAAAGAAACAGAUCAAACAGAUGACUAUUAAUUGUAUUGAUCAAUGAUUAUACCUAUAUCAUAAUCUGUAUAAAUAAAAAUGUAAAUAACUUUCCAAAAUUGCAAAUAAAUAGGUAUUUGAAAAUAAUAAAACAAAGUAAAUUGACGUUUAAAAUGUUACUAAAUGUAACAAAUUAUAAAUUAUAUUUCAUAUUUAUAUAUUUAAAUUGAUCAAAAAUGCAAAUAGCUUUUAUUUAUUCAUUUUCCAAUGCUAAAUCAAUUUAUUUAAUUUUACUGUUACAUUUAAUUUAAAACU